rnacentral:rRNA from 1 species
GCGGCUUCCUGGAUUUCCACUGACGCUGAGGCGCGAAAGCGUGGGUAGCGAACGGGAUUAGAAACCCCGGUAGUCCACGCCGUAAACGAUGUACAUUAGGCGUUCGGUUACGCGAGUAAUUGAGUGUCGCAGCAAACGCGAUAAAUGUACCGCCUGGGGAGUACGGUCGCAAGGCUAAAACUCAAAGGAAUUGACGGGGGCCCGCACAAGCAGCGGAGCGUGUGGUUUAAUUCGAGGCUACGCGAAGAACCUUACCUGGGAAUGACAUGUAGGUAGUACGGAAGCGAAAGCGGAAGGGCCCUUCGGGGAGCCUACACAGGUGCUGCAUGGUUGUCGUCAGCUCGUGCCGUGAGGUGUUCGGUUAAGUCCGCAAACGAGCGCAACCCUCGGUGCUAGUUAUACGUGUCUAGCAUGACUGCCCGUGACAAACGGGAGGAAGGUGGGGAUGACGUCAAAUCAGCAUGGCCUUAAUAUCCAGGGCGACACACACGCUACAAUGGUCGGUACAAUGGGUAGCGAAGGGGCGACUUGGAGCGAAUCCUUCAAAGCCGAUCUCAGUUCGGAUUGCAGGCUGCAACUCGCCUGCAUGAAGUCGGAGUUGCUAGUAACCGCGAAUCAGCACGUUGCGGUGAAUACGUUCCCGGGCCUUGUACACACCGCCCGUCACGUCAUGGGAGUUGGUCGAGCCUAAAGUCGGGAAGCCAACCUUGCUGGGGGCUAC